rnacentral:misc_RNA from 1 species
GAUGAAGAACGCAGUGAAAUGCGAUAAGUAAUGUGAAUUGCAGAAUUCAGUGAAUCAUCGAAUCUUUGAACGCACAUUGCGCCCGCCAGUAUUCUGGCGGGCAUGCCUGUUCGAGCGUCAUUUCAACCAUCAAGCCCCCGGCUUGUGUUGGGGACCUGCGGCUGCCGCAGGCCCUGAAAAGCAGUGGCGGGCUCGCUGUCACACCGAGCGUAGUAGCAUACAUCUCGCUCUGGGCGUGCUGCGGGUUCCGGCCGUGAAACCACCUUCAUAACCCAAGGUUGACCUCGGAUCAGGUAGGAAGACCCGCUGAACUUAAGCAUAUCAAUAAGCGGAGGA